rnacentral:ncRNA from 1 species
GUUGCAGGGGUGCCCAAGAGGCUGAGAAAUGCGCAUAUCUUGCGCAAAACCCUUAUUACUUGAUCCGGACAAUACCGGCGGAAGGAGGCAGACAU